GAGCUGCACAGAGAGCUUGUGCUACUUACAUCGCGGCUUAAUUGGUUAUUUCUGAUAUGGCAAUACAAAUGGCUCAUAUUGCGAACCAUCUCAGCCCCCCCUCUCUGUUUUCCAGCUUGUCAUAUUUGUCUUUUUACUGUACAUCAAAUGAAGCAAGGAGAGGAAUAAUACACAUAAUUUGUAGCAUCAGAUCUUGGCAGGAUCCCAGGCCGUACCUCCACUGCGCUCCGUGCCACCAUCCAUGGAGCAGUCACUGAUGGAGACCUUUUCUUCCCCUCCAGAAGCACACGCCUGCCUUACAGGCUUCAAAUCUCACUGCAAGAUCAGAAGAAAACGGCCAAAGCCAUGGGUGGCAGAUAGCUUUGGGCAGAGCACAGGCGAAGCACAGUCUCAAACCAGUGUGUAUUAGUGAGCAAUACGUAUUUAACCUGUGGGAAAAGUCACACUUCAGUUUCUGUUCAGAGUUACCCCUGCAGAAGUGACAGAUGUCUGCUGGGGCAGGAAUUGGAGGGAGCGCGUGAAUAUGAAGAGGAAAAAGGAGUAAAAAACAACCCAGAAAAUGAGCUGAAAGACUCCCCCAAAUAUGAGCACACUAAAAUCUCUGCUCCAGAUGAAUUGUUGAACACAAGCUUAAGGAGAUUUAAGAACACUUUCCAGGUGCUAUUGCAUUGCACAGUAUUUUUCUUCCAGAGCUGGAUCUUGGAAAAGGGAAGCUUUUGAACGGUAUUUCAUUCUCCCCCAGAAUGAAAAAGGUACAUAAUAAAAGCUUCAGGAGAUCACCUGCUCUUAUAACAUAUUUGUUUCCUCACAGGCUGUAUUUUCACCAGCAUUCCAGUGCUGAGUGUUCACCCAACCCCUGGCUUUUGUUGCCAGCAGCAAAAUACAGUAAAGCAGACCUUAUGUUUGGUGUUUAGUGUGCUCUUAGCCUUCUAACACACUGCUUUAGCAACGCUGCAUGCAACCAAGUUUAAAAUACCACCACGGCAGCAGCAUGAUAACGAAGAGGAUACUGACCAAGCUGCUAAGACUGGGCAUGUUCUACUGCUGCUUAACUACAAAAACUCAGAUAGCUACGUAUGUAUGCUUGUUUGCUUUUUCCCCCCUCUCUCUCCUGAUUUUAAGGGUGUUUAUUGCAAAGACACUGCAGGGGACACAUUUCCCAACCACACACCCGACCCCUACGUUCAGUUUUCUGAAAGCCCAC
ensembl:lncRNA